CCUGGCGCAUGCGCCGUGCAUCACGCAAACUACCUGACGCAUGCGGCGUGCAUAAAAGCGCCUUGCGCAGUCAGUUACCUUGAUUCAUUUGAGAAAACGGUGCGAACAGGUAAGUCACGAGGCUUCGUUCUCCGUAUAUUUGAAAUCAAACGCGGUUUAAAUGUAGUAAAUGGCCAGCCAAUUCCCUCUGUUUAUAAAAUAGUUAUAAUUUGCAAAUCUAUUAGUUACAGUAAUAAUGUGUUUUAAUGAUUAUUCUUCUGUGACUAUUAGAUCUUUUGUAAUAAGUGUAACUGUUAGUGUACUGUUAAUUUAAAUGUUGUGUUUAACCAGUAGAGGGCAGUGUCGCGAAAGUAUUCUUUGGACGUUUUAUUUUGAAAAGACGAAAAGCAGUCGUGUUCUUGUUCGUCUUCCUGUUUUGCUGUCUGCUCCGCGGUCGUUUCACCUGAGUUAAUUAUCUGAGAAGUUUCAAGAGGACGUUGUGGCGUUGUGUGUCCGUUGUGGUAGUGAGGAAGCCAUGACAGACGCGUAGCUGUGAGAAGAAGGCGCCAUUCCAGCGUUCCUGAGUGUUAAACAGUUGAAAGCUAAGCAAAUGGAAGACAUUUCUUCAAGUAUGGGACGUUUGGGCUACAUUUGCUCGCUGGUUCUCCUGCUGCUGAUGAUGAACCCCCCCGCAUGUCAGUCACAAGAAAUCAAACAUAUGGAGAAUGGAAGCACAGUUCUCAGUCCAGGAUCAAUUUCUGGUCAGAUAAAGAGUAUUAAGUGGCUUCAUAGCGCUGACAUCAUUGCAGACUGGUUUGGACGUGAAAAGGAGGGCCACCGUCAUUGUAAAGAUCGCUGUGACAUCAACACAGAAACUGGAAGUCUGACCAUCAACAGUUGCAGUAUGACUGACUAUGGGAACUACACUGUAAAGAUCGAGACAAAAACUGGAAAACUGGAUAUCUUUCAUCUGAAUGUGACAGACUGCGGCAAACACACAGUGAAGAAGAACGUUCCAGGAAUCGAAGUCAAACUUCAGUACAAAUGUUUCCUGCUUCAUUUUUUCUGGGGGGAACACAAACACCAUCAUCAUCAUUAUCGUCUUCAUCCUCAUCAUCAUCAUUGCUGUUGCUCUUUCCAUUGGGAUUUAUUGUUGUUACAAACACAGAGAAAGUAAGAAAAAGAUUUUUUUAUUCUUAAACAUUGUUGUAUAAUUCUGAACAUCAAAUCCUAAAUGAAACAUUUAUUUUUGAGACUGAAGAAAUGAUCUGUUCUUUAAAUCCUUUAAACUUUUAGAUCCAGAACACCUGACAGGACGCAUUCGGAGUAGAGGCCUCAGCUGGCUCCGCUCAGUGAAGAACAGCAUGGCAUCCACUCCGAGCUCCUUCCAGGUAACUGAGCUUCUGACCUUAAAUCCAACAGUGCGUCCAGCUACUCUGUGGAGAGAACUCCUUCCAGAAUCAGGAUUUUUCUCCUGUCAGUCGGGAUUUAAGAGCAAAGACUCAACAAUAGAACUAAAACACCUAGAAAAAAUCUCCCUGAAGUUUUGAUCUGUGUUUCUAGAGUAGUGAACAGCUGAAGCAUGAACAUGGGCUCACAGAGUUGCUGCAACCAGCUGAGCUCCCAUUGGUUGAUUGUGGGGUCCAGUCUGCUGCAGGGCCAAACAACCACACCCAGAGAUCAUGCAGAAUCACCGGUUAACCUAUGAAAUGUGUUGGAGGAAACCCAGCCGGGAUUUCAACCUGCUGGGAGAUGCAGUGCUAACCACUUCACCACCGUGCCACCUAACUUAAUUAUCAUUCAUUUACGUUAUAUUCACAUUCACUAAAAAUGUGAAAAAAUAAGUUGACUAAGUUUUGUUUCUGACUACAGAGGGUUUCUACAUCAGCUGGAGACCCGACACCACAAGAAGAGACUGACGAAUCUCAGAACUCGUCUUCAUCACCUUCUGAGGAUGGAGACCAAGUUGGACCUGCUGGCAGAACAGGAAGUCUUUCAUGUUCAAUCACAGUUUCUAACUAAAUGUAGCUUUUAAAGGAGAAAACUUCUGCUAGAAAGCAGAACAACUUCCUAUUUAUUUGAUGCUUCCUUAAACUAACCAAACUUGUGUUUACAUGAAGGUCUUUUUCUAACAAAAGUUAGAAAAAAAUGUGUUUAUAUAAAAAACAGUUUGAUAACUUGAAGCUUUAGAAGUGACUGUGGGAGAGCGGCAACUUCUGACUAUAAGGUCACACACUCCAGCUUUGUUUAGCUUGGAGGUCAUUAAUAGACCCUUUUCAAGUGACAUCAUACAAAACGAUAAGUGUGCAGAGUGACUUCUAGAUCUGUUAUGUCUACGGCAAAGCUGACGGCUGAACGCUGUUUAAAGCAAUUUUACGUAAAUAAUGACAGGAAACUUAAAUCUGUACAAUAUUUAUUUUAUAAAUGUUCUAGCUGGUUUUUCCCUCUUAGAUCUAAUGUCAGAAUUCCUCCUGCAGAACGCUCCACAGCUGCGUCUCUAAAAUCCUCUGGAUGAUAUUAAACCAUCGUGGAUUAUUUCUCUCUACAACCCGGUCAUAGUUAGAUGGAGGUUACAGGAACUUCAUUGAAUUCUGCUGUUUGAUUGUGAAGGUCAUUCAGAUUUUCUUCUUCUAAUUUAUGCUAACGCUAAUGCUAGCUUCCCAGGAUGGGAAUGAGACAAAAGAUCUGCAGAAGAUCUUUUCUGUCCAGUUAAAGUUGCUUCAUAAAAUCACUAAAAAUAGAGCUUAAGUCAGACAAUUUCAACAAGAAAAACUAAUUAUUUUCUGACAUAGCUCCUCUUUGCUGUUGCUCAUAACCCUGUCUGAUCCUGCAGGAUAAUAAGGGGAAACAAGGAUUAAAUUCAUUUAAAACAGUUAAAAAAGAAAAAAAAAAUUCCUAUUAAAAGCAUUAACUGUUAAAAUACCUGGAAAAACAACAAACAACUCUUAUUAGAACAACUGAACGUGGCCUUGGGUUUAAACCCCAACAUGCUUCGAUGUGCAUCUAUUGCAAUGCGCCCAUUUCAUGUGACCAACAUGAAUUUGCAUCAGUUUAUGUGCUGAUCACACUUAAAACCCGUGGGAAUGACAUCGAGCAAAAUAGAACCCAUUAGAAUGGGUUCUAUUUUUAUCUAUGUACAUAUUUCUGUUCAAAUUGGUGAGGUUACCCUUUAUUAUUUACAUAAAAUUGUGUCAAACAGCGUUCAGUUCAAUGUUUUCCCGGUCUAUCUAUGAACCCGGAGGUUACGUAUCACGCUCACGUAUCCUGUCGCCGUUUUCUUCGAUAUCCCCGUAAAUAAGCUCUACUGACUGUGAGGAGUUACCAAUUUGUUUUUGUGUGUGAAUGAAACUUUAGGAUGUUUACACAUUUGGUGUUUCUUUGCCAAAUCGUGCAGCUGCUAUAGCAACUCCAAGCUAGCGCCUGGCACCGCCUCUGAGGUCAAAGGUCGGGUUCCAGCCUUGCCCCAUCCCUGUGCUACUGUAAAUCCCUGUGGCCAGAAGGGGGGGGGGGGGGGGGGGGGGGGUGUUAUAUGUUUUUUUUUUUUAACAUUUCAGGAAUGACCUUCCUAAAGUAUUUUUCAAUGCUCUGUUGAAUGUUUUGCACUUUGCUUUUAUAAUGCUAGUGAAAAACAAAGUGCACUUUAAUAUUAGCCAAUGCUUCAAAAGCAUAUGUGCCAAACAAAAAAAAUGUAUGUGCUAAAACAUUACGCAUACAAAAAAAAAAAAAAAAAAAUUGGUGGUGGAGGGGGGGGGGUCUUAAAACCAGUGGGGUCUGGUUGUUGCGUUUUUGUGUGAAAACUCAAAGUAUUUUCUUAAAAAUGAUUUUAAGAAAGUUUUUUACAUUUCUAAUUUUAUUUUGUAAACAGUGGUGUUUCCACUGAGACUGAGCAUUAUUUCUAUGAAGAUGAAAAAUGUGACACAAGAAGUAUGAAGCAUUUCUGUUGUAUACAUUUAAACUUUAAGGAAGAUAUGUAUGGUUUUCUUCUUUAAACUACAUUUUGAACUAUAUCUCCAAAUCUAUUAAAAACAGAAUUGGAGUCAAACUCUUAUGACUUAUUUUCUGUUUAGUUUAGUGUUUAUGUUUUUUUUUUUUUUUUUUUUAACCUUUAUUUUACCAGUAAAUCCCAUUGAGAUUAGAUCUCUCUUUCUAGGGAGACCUGGGCCAAAAGGCGAGCUUCUGUUUGAUCAGGUCAAGUUAUAACAUUUUCAGGUUGAUCAUUGUUACUCAGUGUAGCGUGUCAUGCAUUUUGUUUCUUUGUAGACCAUACACAUUGUCAAAUGAGUAACUGUAAAUCCCUGUACACAAUCUAAAUGUUAUCAUCCU
ensembl:lncRNA